AUACGAAGGGGGCUAGCGUUGUUCGGAAUUACAGGGCGUAAAGCGCGCGUAGGCGGUUUGUUAAGUCAGAUGUGAAAGUCCACAGCUCAACUGUGGAAGUGCAUUUGAAACUGGCAGACUUGAGUACUGGAGGGGGUGGUGGAAUUCCCGGUGUAGAGGUGAAAUUCGUAGAUAUCGGGAGGAAUACCGGUGGCGAAGGCGACCACCUGGCCAGAUACUGACGCUGAGGUGCGAAAGCGUGGGGAGCAAACAGGAUUAGAAACCCUAGUAGUCC
rnacentral:rRNA from 1 species